rnacentral:rRNA from 1 species
UACGGAGGGUGCAAGCGUUAUCCGGAUUCACUGGGUUUAAAGGGUGCGUAGGUGGGCAAGUAAGUCAGUGGUGAAAUCUCCGGGCUUAACCCGGAAACUGCCAUUGAUACUAUUUGUCUUGAAUAUCCUGGAGGUGAGCGGAAUAUGUCAUGUAGCGGUGAAAUGCUUAGAUAUGACAUAGAACACCAAUUGCGAAGGCAGCUGGCUACGCGAAUAUUGACACUGAUGCACGAAAGCGUGGGGAUCAAACAGG